rnacentral:rRNA from 1 species
GUGGGGAAUCUUAGACAAUGGGCGCAAGCCUGAUCUAGCCAUGCCGCGUGAGCGAUGAAGGCCUUAGGGUUGUAAAGCUCUUUCGCUGGGGAAGAUAAUGACUGUACCCAGUAAAGAAGCCCCGGCUAACUCCGUGCCAGCAGCCGCGGUAAUACGGAGGGGGCUAGCGUUGUUCGGAAUUACUGGGCGUAAAGCGCGCGUAGGCGGAUUGGAAAGUUGGGGGUGAAAUCCCGGGGCUCAACCUCGGAACUGCCUUCAAAACUCCCAGUCUUGAGUUCGAGAGAGGUGAGUGGAAUUCCGAGUGUAGAGGUGAAAUUCGUAGAUAUUCGGAGGAACACCAGUGGCGAAGGCGGCUCACUGGCUCGAUACUGACGCUGAGGUGCGAAAGCGUGGGGAGCAAACAGGAUUAGAUACCCGGGUAGUCC